UACGGAGGAUCCAAGCGUUAUCCGGAUUUAUUGGGUUUAAAGGGUGCGUAGGCGGCCAACUAAGUCGGAUGUGAAAUCCCCAGGCUUAACCUGGGAACUGCGUCUGAUACUGGUUGGCUUGAGUGCAGGAGAGGAACGCGGAAUUCCAGGUGUAGCGGUGAAAUGCGUAGAUAUCAGGAGGAACACCGGUGGCGAAGGCGGUUCUCUGGGCAUUACCUGACGCUGAGGAGCGAAAGUGUGGGGAGCGAACAGG
rnacentral:rRNA from 1 species